CUUGAGCACGUCAUUUGACCUCUCAGCCAGGGUUGCUCAUCUGUGACAAGGAUCAUAAUCAAGCCUCCUGAGGAAUGCUGGUGAGGACGGAAAUGAGAUCACUGUGUGCUUUGGUCCUGCGUGGUGACUGGAAGGAGUGGUCGCGAGCGACAGCCUCCAUUCGCUCAUGUCAAGGGGCAGGCCUGGCCACCACCUGGAGUGAGCAGAGGGAGAUUCUAGGAUCUUCUCCAUCUCAAACAUGGCCACUGGGGAGCCGCAGUUCAAGGGAGGGUGAACCGGGCCUCUCUCUACACCAUCCUCACUGUGCAUCUGCCUUGAGUGUUGGCCAUUGCCUGGACCCCAGCAGAGCACUGUUCUUGGGACGUGUGAGCCACAGGUAUGGACUUGGAUGGGAGAGAAACAUGGAAGCUGGCUGGGAAGAAACUCUGAGGCAUUCCAGUCAGAAGCACCUCAGGGCUCUCGCUCUCUCUCCCUGUGCAGAAAGGCAUCAGAAAACUCUCUACCUACUGACAGGAGAGGGAGAGAGAGUGGGGGAGAAAGGGCAGAGGGAGAGGGAGAGAGAGAAUCUCAAGCAGGCACCACACCCAAUGCAGAGCCUGCUGUGAGGCUCCAUCUCAUGACCCUGAGAUCAUGACCUGAGCCAAAAUCAAGAGCCAGGAGCUUAAUCGACUGAGACACCCAGGUGACCCUCUAUGUUUUUAUUUCUUUUCUUUUCUUUUUUUAAAAUUAUUUUAUUUAUUUAUUUGACAGAGAGAGAGAUCACAAGUAGGCAGAGAGAGAUGGGGAAGCAGGCUCCAUGCUAAGCAGGGAGCCCGACACGAGGCUUGAUCCCAGGACCCUGGGAUCCUGACCUAAGCUGAAGGCAGAAGCUUUAACCCACUGAGUCCACUGAGUCACCCAGGUGUCCCUAUGUUUUUAUUUCUGACCAUGUGAUUAUAUUACCUAUCUGGAAAAUAAAAUAAAAUGUCCUUUUAAAAUUUUGCCUGCCAUCUCCUCCAUCUCCUCCAGCUCCAGUUUUGUAAAGUUCUCACUGCCUCCUUUCCCUGAUUUUUUAAUCUGAGUGCAAUUCCAGGCCUCCUGCUUUAAAGUAGAGCAAAGCUUUCCAAGCCUAAUAUCUCUGUAGGGUUGUCCUUGACUAGAUGUAAACGUUGAUGGUAGUUGGUCCCCUUCAACCCAUCAAGACUCAGCCUCUGAAAUCCGAUUGUCCGACUCUCCAGAGAAGGUGAGGCAGUCAACUCUCCAGGAGAAGGUGAGGCAGUCAACUCUCCAGGAGAAGGUGAGGCAGUCAACUCUCCAGGAGAAGGUGAGGCGGUCCCUGGCCUUGGUAACCUGCUCCACACUCCAGUCAUCUCCAGUAUGUUCUUGAACAUUCCUGUCUGGGCCCGUGCACCUGCGCUCAGGAAUGCACCUCUGCCAUUGCCUGUCAGACGACUUGGGCUGGCCAACGUUAUACUUCUCCAGUAAUCUCUUGGUUCUUUCCUUGCCAGGCUAAAUAAGCUCGAUCCCCAUAACUAAUCUUACCACCCAGUCGUCACGCUUCUUUUGAAAUCACUCUGAGCAUCUCUCAGUUUCUUGAGCCUCUGUUAUAUAACAGGAGGCUAAGCCCUAAGUACGCGGAGAACAGUGAGAAGAGCGCCAUGUGGCUUUUCUGCCUCCUUGCUCGGGUCCCUGUUGGACACUCAGGCAAGUCUCUUAGAUGUUAUUUUUUGCAGUUUAUGGAGCACUGCUAGCCCCUCCACCUCAGUCUAUCAGGUCUCCUUACUGUCUUACUAUUUCCACUAAUUCAGGGUAAGCUUGGCCCACUGUGGUCUUUAUUUAGAUCAUCUCUAUUAUACCUGUGGGUAGAUCUUAUAAGCAGGCCUUGGCAUGGCUUUAUUUGUGGGUUUCCUUUUAAAAGGUCGCUGUGAAACAGGAAGUGUGACUAAGAAAAUCUUCUUCUUCCAUGAAACCCUCUUCAUUAACUGGAAAAAGGCACCCGUCCCCUCUCCCCCAGUACUUACUCAUGGCCCAAACAGACACGGUUCAAAAGAACACAUAGUUCCCAAAACACUGAAAAGUGCACUGUAAGGCUCACGUGUGAGGCGGGUGGUUCUUUGUCAGGUUGCUGCUGUCUGGGGCCAUCCUUGCGCCGACACGUGCUGCCUGUCACUGUUCUUCCUAGCGUCUGAGGGCAGGUGGGAGCCUCGGAGGGCUGGGAGGAUGGGUGUGCAGCUUAAGAGCUAGAAGGGAGGGGGGUACUCCUAUGGAUAAAGGCUGAGGCGGAUGGGACCCCAGGUCUCCUGGCUCCCCAGCCACAUUUGUCUGGUUAAACCACACCCAUCUCCUUCAGCUUCUGGAGGGGCCCCAUGCAUCUUUCUUCCUGUAGAGAAGCCUGGUGACAGGUGCAGCAGAGACACAGGCUUGCUGAGAGGGACCUGGGCACAUAGCUCAGGCUUCCUGGUGGGGCUUUCUUGAGGAGGCAGUAGCGGCUAUACUUGGGACCACCUGCUUUACAAACUUGCUUUGCUCUCCUCAGUCACACAAUAGGAAAACAAUAAUAUAGGUUAUAAUAUAGGGUUAUAGAGAUGAAAAUCAGUUAAAACACAGAAAGCAUCCAGGACAGUCUUGGUGUGCCACCCCUCUGUACAUGUUAGUUAUGAUUAUUCUGAUGAGUUGGUUAGCUUUCCUCCUUUCUAUUCAAUUCGAGAAUUUGGCACCAACCAUGGGCUUUGUUGCGAAAAUGGCGGCAUUGAGGUUUUAUCCUUGGUCAGCCCCUCAAUGGCCAGUAGUUUGCCUGUUUUUUUUUCCUUAAAGAUUUUAUUUAUUCAUUUGACAGAAAGAAACACAGCAAGAGAGGGAACACAAGCAGGGGGAGUGGGAGAGAGAGAAGCAGGCUUCCCCCUGAGUGGGAAGCCCUAUGCGGGGCUAGAUCCCAGGAUCCUGGGAUCAUGAUCUGAGCCAGAGACAGAUGCCCAACGACCGAGCCACCCAGGUGCCCCAGCCAGUAGUUUGUCUUAAGAAGAGGUGAAAAAAAAAUAUAGUCCAAAUGCAUAGUCAGUACUGCUGGGGUCCAAGGGGCCUUUCCAGACAGGCUGUCUGAGAUGGUCUUGUUCAGGCUUAUGAGCAGUGCCCGCCUCUCAGAAACAUUGAGUGAGGGGUGUAGUGGGCUCUGUGGCUAUGGAUAUUGUUAUGGAGAAUACAGAUGAAGGUGCAGAAUCUCCGGGGCUCGGGCUCUGUAUAAGUAAGCCUGACGAAGACAGGGACUAUGGAAGGAUGUGAAGGGAGUCUCAGCCAGGCUUAGGGGCACAGGGUCUCCGCUUGACUCAUCCCUUCAACUGCUGCUCUCACUCCCAAGGCCUUUGUCUGGAUGCUGGGAACUUCCUGGGGGAUGGUUAAGCCCCACCUCUAUCAGGCACGACACUCUCUUCCUGAGCUGGGAGUUGCUUCAUUCUGCGUUCCUAAAAUGUGGUCUUGCUACACCGGAGGAAGGCUGGGUCAUCCACAGUGUGGGACCCUGAGUCAGCAGGACUGAACCGGGGAAGCCAGAGCCACAGCUGCCCUGUGUGAAGUUAACGAGACCCAAGUUUUCAUAAAAUUGUUAUUUCUGGGGUAUGUGUCUGUGCAUGAGGCACUGAUCUGCAUUCC
ensembl:lincRNA